rnacentral:rRNA from 1 species
CAGUAGCCACGGGAAUACGGAGGGUGCAAGCGUUAAUCGGAAUUACUGGGCGUAAAGCGCACGCAGGCGGUCUGACAAGUCAGAUGUGAAAUCCCCGGGCUUAACCUGGGAUCUGCAUUUGAAACUGUCAGGCUGGAGUCUUGUAGAGGGGGGUGGAAUUCCAGGUGUAGCGGUGAAAUGCGUAGAGAUCUGGAGGAAUACCGGUGGCGAAGGCGGCCCCCUGGACAAAGACUGACGCUCAGGUGCGAAAGCGUGGGGAGCAAACAGGAUUAGAUACCCCUGUAGUCCCUGUCUCUUAUAC